AGCAGUCGCCGCGGUAAUACGUAGGUGGCAAGCGUUGUCCGGAAUUACUGGGCGUAAAGCGCACGUAGGCGGCUUGGUAAGUUAGAGGUGAAAGCCCAGAGCUCAACCCUGGAAUUGCCUUUAAGACUGCCGAGCUAGUAGGUGAGAGAGGUGAGUGGAAUUCCGAGUGUAGAGGUGAAAUUCGUAGAUAUUCGGAAGAACUCCAGUGGCGAAGGCGGCUCACUGGCUCAUUCUAGACGCUGAGGUGCGAAAGCGUGGGGAGCAAACAGGAUUAGAUACCCGCGUAGUCCCUGUCUCUUAUAC
rnacentral:rRNA from 1 species